GACGAACGCUGGCGGCGUGCUUAACACAUGCAAGUCGAACGGAAAGGCCUCUUUCGGGGGGUACUCGAGUGGCGAACGGGUGAGUAACACGUGAGUAACCUGCCCUUGACUUUGGGAUAACUUCAGGAAACUGGGGCUAAUACCGGAUAGGAGCUCCUGCUGCAUGGUGGGGGUUGGAAAGUUUCGGCGGUUGGGGAUGGACUCGCGGCUUAUCAGCUUGUUGGUGGGGUAGUGGCUUACCAAGGCUUUGACGGGUAGCCGGCCUGAGAGGGUGACCGGCCACAUUGGGACUGAGAUACGGCCCAGACUCCUACGGGAGGCAGCAGUGGGGAAUAUUGCACAAUGGGUGGAAGCCUGAUGCAGCAACGCCGUGUGCGGGAUGUCGGCCUUCGGGUUGUAAACCGCUUUCGCUCAUGACGAAGCUUUGUGUGACGGUAGUGGGUAAAGAAGCACCGGCUAACUACGU
rnacentral:rRNA from 1 species